rnacentral:rRNA from 1 species
GACGAACCGUGCGAACGUUAUUCGGAUUCACUGGGCUUAAAGGGCGCGUAGGCGGCUGCUCAAGUCGGGGGUGAAAUCUUUCAGCUCAACUGGAAAAUAGCCUUCGAUACUGGGUGGCUUGAGGGAGAUAGGGGUGCGCGGAACUUCCGGUGGAGCGGUGAAAUGCGUAGAUAUCGGAAGGAACGCCGGUGGCGAAAGCGGUGCACUGGAUCUUCACUGACGCUGAGGCGCGAAAGCCAGGGGAGCAAACGGG